rnacentral:rRNA from 1 species
AGCGAACGUUAGCGGCGGGCCUAACACAUGCAAGUCGCGGGAGAAAAGGGCUUCGGCCCCGAGUAAACCGGCGCACGGGUGAGUAACACGUAGGUAAUCUGCCCUCCGGUGGGGGACGAACCGGCCGAAAGGCUGGCUAAUACCGCAUCCGUCGGCGAGGACUGCGGUCCUUGUCGGGAAAGCGGGCCUCUCCAUGGAAGCUCGCGCCGGAGGAGGAGCCUGCGUCCCAUCAGCUAGUUGGUGAGGUAACGGCUCACCAAGGCAUAGACGGGUAGCUGGUCUGAGAGGAUGAUCAGCCACACUGGGACUGAGACACGGCCCAGACUCCUACGGGAGGCAGCAGUGGGGAAUAUUGGACAAUGGGCGCAAGCCUGAUCCAGCGAUGCCGCGUGUGUGAAGAAGGCCUGCGGGUUGUAAAGCACUUUCAGUAGGAAGAAAGCCGAGUGCUAAUAUCAUUCGGUCUUGACGUUACUUACAGAAGAAGCACCGGCUAACUCCGUGCCA